rnacentral:rRNA from 1 species
UACGUAGGGACCAAGCGUUGUUCGGAUUUACUGGGCGUAAAGCGUGCGCAGGCGGUUCGUUGUGUCGGCGGUGAAAGCCCCGGGCUUAACCUGGGAAUGGCCGUUGAAACUGGCGAACUGGAGUGUGGCAGAGGGGGGUGGAAUUCCGCGUGUAGCAGUGAAAUGCGUAGAGAUGCGGAGGAACACCGAUGGCGAAGGCAGCCCCCUGGGCUAACACUGACGCUCAGGCACGAAAGCGUGGGGAGCAAACAGG